rnacentral:lncRNA from 1 species
UCAAUUAGUCUUCUUAGAACAACAGCAGCCACACAACAAAACUCUAUUGAAAGCCUCUCCCUCCCACUUCUUUCCUUUAGGGUUUUCUCAAUAACGUAGACAAGAUGUUCAGAAGAGGACCUUCGAGUAAGAGCGACAACACCAAGUUCUACGAGAUCCUCGGCGUCCCCAAGACCGCAUCACCCGAAGAUCUCAAAAAGGCUUACAAGAAAGCCGCCAUCAAAAACCAUCCCGACAAGGGUGGAGAUCCCGAGAAGGUAUGAAUCCUUCGAUCCCCUUCUGUGUAAUUCAAUAAAGUUAGCUCUUUUAUAGUUUGGUUUGGAUUCUCCGACCGGUAGAUGUCGUGUAAGAGCGUGGAUUCUUCGUAAGAUGUCCGAUUCGAUCUGAAAGGUGCGAGCUUUAGGUCAAUUGGUUGACUUUUGUUUCAUGUCUCUUUUUAGUUCAAAGAGCUAGCUCAGGCUUAUGAAGUUUUAAGUGAUCCGGAGAAGCGUGAGAUCUACGAUCAGUAUGGAGAGGAUGCACUCAAGGAGGGAAUGGGUGGUGGAGGCGGUGGGCAUGACCCCUUUGAUAUCUUCUCGUCCUUCUUUGGUGGUGGUGGUGGUAGCCCAUUUGGAGGUUAGUCUCUCUAAAAGAGUCGUUGGAUUCUCCCAUUUAACAAUAUGUUUCGCGUUUAAAAUGGAUGAUAAAAGUUGGAUGUUGUUUUUGAUUAGGUGGCAGCAGCCGUGGAAGGAGGCAGAGGCGUGGUGAAGACGUUGUUCACCCUCUGAAGGUUUCACUAGAGGAUCUUUAUCUCGGAACAACUAAGAAGCUCUCACUUUCUAGGAAUGCUUUGUGUUCCAAGUGUAACGGGUUAGUUAGUUAGUUAGUUCUACUUUCUAAGAUAUGCUUUAAAAGAGUUUGCUUUAAAAGAGUUUUGGACUGAGAUUAGUUGCUUUGUGAUGGCAGAAAGGGUUCAAAGUCUGGAGCUUCAUCGACAUGUAGUGGAUGUCAAGGAUCUGGAAUGAAGGUUUCAAUCAGGCAGCUUGGACCGGGAAUGAUUCAGCAGAUGCAGCACCCUUGUCAUGAUUGCAAAGGUACAGGAGAGACCAUCAAUGACCGUGACAGGUGUCCACAAUGCAAAGGGGAUAAGGUUGUCUCUGAGAAGAAGGUGCUUGAAGUAGCUGUUGAAAAGGGAAUGCAGCAUAGUCAGAAGAUCACAUUCAGUGGACAAGCAGAUGAAGCGGUUUGUGCUACUCACUUUGUCCUUACGUUUGGUCGUUAUAUUAUUCGUUUUUUUUACUUUGUGCUCUUUUGAAAACAGCCGGAUACAGUCACUGGAGAUAUAGUGUUCGUCAUUCAACAGAAAGAGCACCCAAAGUUCAAGAGAAAGGGAGAUGAUCUCUUUGUCGAGCACACCCUCUCUCUUACAGAAGCUCUCUGUGGGUUCCAGUUUGUCUUGACCCAUUUGGACAAAAGACAGCUUCUCAUCAAAUCCAGUCCGGGAGAGGUUGUGAAGCCAGGUACAUACUUCAAUCAUGAUCAUCCCUCUCUCAUUGUUACUAUAUCCACGAGCUUCUCUCUUUCUUACAGUGGUAUGUGUUUGGUUGAUGAUAGAUUCAUACAGGGCGAUAACCGAUGAGGGAAUGCCUAUGCACCAGAGGCCGUUCAUGAAGGGCAAGCUUUACAUCCACUUCACGGUCGACUUCCCUGACUCGCUGAGCCCUGACCAGACAAAGGCCAUUGAAGCGGUUUUGCCGAAGCCAAAGGCGGAUCUGAGCGACAUGGAAAUAGACGAAUGCGAGGAGACGACGCUGCACGAAGUGAACAUUGAGGAUGAGAUGAGAAGGAAGGCUCAAGCUCAAAGAGAGGCUUAUGAUGAUGACGAUGAUGAUGAAGAAGGCCCAGGUGGUGCUCAGCGUGUGCAAUGUGCCCAGCAGUGAUCAAACAUGCGCACUUGUAGUGAUAUUCAGCACUUGCGUUUUCUUAAACUUAUAUGUAUUAUUUUUGGGUCUUUGCUAUAAGACUUUUGCCCGAUUCUGUUGGAAGAAACUUGUCCUAAUUCAAUUUCUUGUCACAAUGUUGGUAACCCAUUCAGCAAACGCAAACGUAAAACUUGCAAACGGCACACGCUAGCACGAAGAACACAAUCAAGAUUUUGAGAAAACAAUGGUCUGGUAGAAUAAAGAAUGAGCAAUCAAAAUCGAAUAGUGUUGCUGAGUUUGUCGUGGUAAACCAUUGGCGCCACUGUUGCAAUAUAUAUACAUUUCACAAAAGUUAAUUGAAUUAUGUUCUAAAUUUCUAUAUAUACUAGAUGACUAGGUGUUUUGCCCGCACAUGUGGAUCUAAUUUUUUUGUGAACAUUUAUUAGUUUAUGUUUUAUUAAUUCAAAACCCAAAGUGAUAAUUUUUUAUUUAUAUUUUUUAAAAAAUUAAAUAAAACAUCAAAUUAUUUAUAUAUAACAAAUAUUUUUAUUUAUACAAAUGCUGUUUUAUUAAUAUUUAAUUAUAAAUAAUUUCAUAUCUUAAUUUUCAAUUUUUAUAAUAGAAAAAUAUUAUUUUAAAAUAACAAUAUAAUAUAUAAGAUAACAACACAAUAUAAUAAAAAUUAUCUUAUUAUAAUAUAUUUAGGAAUUAUCUUUUUAUAAUAAAAAAAUAUUUUUAAGAUUUUGGAUAAUUCUUAUUAUUAGUCGCGGGCAAAACACUUAGUUAUUUAUAUAUGACAAAUAUUUUUAUUUAUAUAAAUGCUUUUUUUAUUAAUAUUUAAUUAUAAAUAAUUUCAUAUCUAAAUUUUCAAUUUUUAUAAUAGAAAAAUAUUAUUUCAAGAUAACAAUACAAUAUAUAAGAUAACAACACAAUAUAAUAAGAAUUAUCUUAUUAUAAUAUAUACAGAAAUUAUCUUUUUAUAUGAUAAUUUCUUAUUUAUAUUUUUCAAAAAUUAAAUAAAACAUCAAAUUAUUUAUAUAUGACAAAUUUUUUAUUUAUACAAAUGCUUUUUUAUUAAUAUUUAAUUAUAAAUAAUUUUAUAUCUUAAUUGUCAAUUUUUAUAAUAGAAAAAUAUUAUUUCAAUAUAACAAUACAAUAUAUAAGAUAACAACACAAUAUAAUAAGAAUUAUCUUAUUAUAAUAUAUACAGAAAUUAUCGUUUUAUUUUUAAAUAUAUUUUUAGAUUUUGGAUAAUUCUUAGUUUUAAUCACUUAUAUUAUUAAAAAAUCAAAUUUGUUUUUAUUUUUUAUUAAUUUAUAUAUUUAAUUUAUUAAGGGUAUAAUUGAUAUUAACCACUCUAACUUUUAACGUGAGAGCUCCGUUGCAAAAAUUUACUUCGUAAAUAAUAGUAUAGAUAACUGGGCACUUGUUUAGAGUGAGACUUUAUACCAAUAUUUGUUCAUUAAAUGGUUUUAACAUUUUGCAACACUGCAAUUUUUAUUGACUAUAAAAUGACUAAUACAAAUGUUAGUUUCUUAAAUGUAUUAUUGUUGUUAAAGAGCAUAUUUUAAUUAUUUUUAAAAUUUAUUAUAUGCACAAAAAAAAUUAAGUUUUGCGGUUAACACAUAUCACCAAACCCGAUCGAUUGUAAAAUCAUGAAAGAGGAUCAGGUUUGCCGCUCUUGAUUUGCUUAAAGAUUAAAACGACGAAUGAUUAAAUACUUAAGAAUCAUAAAUGUGAUGUAUAAUUAAUUAUGAGAACCAAGAUGCAAAUAAAAAAUGAAACUUUAAAUUUAGAGUUUUGAGUAGAUUUGAAGUUUUAUUUCUUAGAACUUUGAAUUUGAAGUUUUGAAGUUUAUUUUAGAAUAGCAAAAAAUUCUAUAUUUGAAGUUAUAGAGUUUUUUUUUUGAGAUGCUCUAAGCAAAAAAAAAAACUAUAUAUUUUUUCUUCUUAAACAAAAGGGUGUUUCUAAUUUUCCAUAAAUGCCCAUAAGUAAGUAAGUAACCAUGCAAAGUUGAUAAAUGUCUAACUUAUAUUUUAAAAUAUAUAACAUUAGUGUAAAUUAAUCAUAGUUGGAUCUAUAUAUCUAAUAACAUGAUAUUCAUCUUAAUAUUUCCUAUCUCAUAUAUUAAUAGAAUACAUGAACUUGUUGAUGUAAUUUUCAAAUUCAUUUAUUUUCUUUAGAUUAGUGUAGAUUAAUCGUAUUUGGAUUUAUAUUUAAUAAAAUAAAACCUAACUUAACAUUUCAUAUCAAAUUUAUUAAUAGAGUACAUGAACUUGUUGAUGCAGUUUUCAAAUUCAUAUAUUUUCCUAUGAUUAUUUAGCUAAUUUUUAAAAAUAAAUUUCUCCUUUUCCUACUAGAGAAGAAUGAAUAAAAAAACAAAACAAAGUCUUUAAAUAAAAGGAAAGAUAUAAAAGGUUCUAGAGUGUUCGGCUGUCCCUACAAAGACCUGAACACAAACUCUUCUUCGAACAACUCAGCCACACAAACAAAACUCCAUCAAAAGCCUCUCCUCCCACCACUUUCCUUUAGGGUUUUCUUAAACAACGUAGACAAGAUGUUCAGAAGAGGACCUCCGAGUAAGAGCGAUAACACCAAGUUCUACGAGAUCCUCGGCGUCCCCAAGACCGCAUCACCCGAAGAUCUCAAAAAGGCUUACAAGAAAGCCGCCAUCAAAAACCAUCCCGACAAGGGUGG